ACUCUAAAGCGAAAGUAAACACUUAAGGAUUUCUGUUUGAUUCGUUGUUGACAUUUUCAUAACUUCACGUGAAUGAAGGGCUUGAACGCUACCUGGAUCUCAAAUUAUCAUAGGGCCGAUAAAAUGAAGACUUUAUACGCUGAUACUUUAAACAACUAGCUGGGUGAUACGGGGAAACGAAAAUAUUAUUAAAGAAGAAAUAGUCAUUUGAUGGAUACAAAACAUGCAGAAUUGUGAAAACUUGUAAACCGGUGAAGAUUAGAAACCUCACGACAAAAACAACACCAAUAGAAUCCAAGAUGGCUGAUGUUCUCACAAAAACUACAGACAUAUAUCUAAGAAUGCAGGAUUAUGUAUUCAAACUUUUACAAACUGAUCCUAUGUUUGUCUCCGAAAGCGCACACAGCAAACAAACAGUAGCUGCUCUAAUCAAACCAGCUUCAUUGUCACACUUUAACCAUGAUUCAGCUCGUGUAGUCCCAAACCUUACGAAAGGAGGUGUCUUUUCUCUAGUAGAAAAGCUCAGUUUGUCUGAAGUACCAAAGAGAAGGAUUGUUGCAACCUGCGUGAUUGCAAGUGUCUUCCUUGCCAAGACACUAAAGGAAAUUGCGAGCAACAACGCUAUAAAUACAAAUGAGAAAAACAGACGAUUUGCCAGAGCUGUCACGUCCUCUGUAAUGGGGAUUCUUUUUUCAUUGUAUGGAUCUCUAGCAGGGCAAUCUCUGAUCAAGAAUCAAGCCGUAGGACGAGUGGUUGGAAGUAUAUUGGGAACUAUAGUUGGCAGAACAAUAGGUGGAGCAAUUGCUGAAGUCGUUUACAAUGUUUUCCAUUAGAUCACAAAUCAAGCAAUCUUUUCAAACUGUAAUAGUCAUGUAGUUAUUUCAAAUAUAUUAUUUGACUUCACAAUUAAAAAAAUCCUGCAAUGGCGAAAGUACAUGAUUUCAAUCUCAAACAUAUCAUUUGAUAUGAUAUUGAUAUAUCGUAUUUUUGUUAAAUUAUGAUAUAUUUCAUGUUGAUGCAUAAAAACAUUUCCUGUAAUUUUGAUUUAAUUCAACGAAAUUUACACGUAUAUUCAUGAUAUCUACGCGGAUGAUAGAUUGACUGGAGUCCAAAGUGUUUCAGACGCCAUAGACAAUUGUUUGGUUGCUUUCAAUUCCAAUUACUUCAAGUAAAAUAUAACAGUAUAUGUCAGGAUAAAAGAAAAUAUAACAAAAUUCAUUUAUCAAGUUUCAGUCAAACUAUUAUAAAAUGAACAUAAUUUACAUUCAUACAUGUAUGUUGAUUUGAUAUAUCCCAGUGAAGUCGAAAUAAAAGACACGGGCCCUCCAAAUUUUUGUAAAGUAAAUGACAGGUGGUGGAUUUACCCAUAUACUGCCUCUGAUGUCAACAUAAAAAUACAUAUUUCUCCUUAAAAUGCC